CAGCAGUGAGGAAUAUUGGUCAAUGGGCGCAAGCCUGAACCAGCAACGCCGCGUGGGUGAUGAAGGAUUUCGGUUCGUAAAACCCUUUUCUGUGUGACGAGCAAGGACGGUAGCACAGGAAUAAGCGUCGGCUAACUACGUGCCAGCAGCCGCGGUAAAACGUAGGACGCAAGCGUUAUCCGGAAUUACUGGGCGUAAAGCGCGUGUAGGCGGGUCUGUAAGUCUGUCGUGAAAGCUCCCGGCUAAACUGGGAGAGGUCGAUGGAAACUACAGGUCUGGAGUUUGGCAGAGGAAUGUGGAAUUCCGCGUGUAGUGGUGAAAUGCGUAGAGAUGCGGAGGAACACCAGUGGCGAAGGCGGCAUUCUGGGCCACAACUGACGCUGAGACGCGAAAGCAUGGGUAGCGAACGGGAUUAGA
rnacentral:rRNA from 1 species